rnacentral:rRNA from 1 species
UACCAGCACCCCGAGUGGUCGGGACGUUUAUUGAGCCUAAAGCAUCCGUAGCCGGUUCUACAAGUCUUCCGUUAAAUCCAGCUGCUUAACAGAUGGGCUGCGGAAGAUACUAUGGAGCUAGGAGGCGGGAGAGGCAAGCGGUACUCGAUGGGUAGGGGUAAAAUCCGUUGAUCCAUUGAAGACCACCAGUGGCGAAGGCGGCUUGCCAGAACGCGCUCGACGGUGAGGGAUGAAAGCUGGGGGAGCAAACCGG